rnacentral:rRNA from 1 species
CCUUCGGGGGGCUGCAGUGGGGAAUAUUGGGCAAUGGGCGCAAGCCUGACCCAGCAACGCCGCGUGAAGGAAGAAGGCUUUCGGGUUGUAAACUUCUUUUCUCAGGGACGAAGCAAGUGACGGUACCUGAGGAAUAAGCCACGGCUAACUACGUGCCAGCAGCCGCGGUAAUACGUAGGUGGCAAGCGUUAUCCGGAUUUACUGGGUGUAAAGGGCGUGUAGGCGGGAAAGCAAGUCAGAUGUGAAAACCAUGGGCUCAACCUGUGGCCUGCAUUUGAAACUGUUUUUCUUGAGUACUGGAGAGGCAGACGGAAUUCCUGGUGUAGCGGUGAAAUGCGUAGAUAUUGCGCAGAACUCCGAUUGCGAAGGCAGCAUACCGGCGGCGAUCUGACGCUGAGGCACGAAAGCGUGGGUAUCGAACAGGAUUAGAUACCCGUGUAGUC